CAAGUCGAACGAUGAAGCUGGAGCUUGCUCUAGUGGAUUAGUGGCGAACGGGUGAGUAACACGUGAGCAAUCUGCCCUUGACUCUGGGAUAACUGCGGGAAACUGUAGCUAAUACCGGAUACGACACCUUGGGGCAUCCCAAGGUGUGGAAAGAAUUUCGGUCAAGGAUGAGCUCGCGGCCUAUCAGCUUGUUGGUGAGGUAAAAGCUCACCAAGGCGACGACGGGUAGCCGGCCUGAGAGGGUGACCGGCCACACUGGAACUGAGAUACGGUCCAGACUCCUACGGGAGGCAGCAGUGGGGAAUAUUGCACAAUGGGCGCAAGCCUGAUGCAGCAACGCCGCGUGAGGGAUUAAGGCCUUCGGGUUGUAAACCUCUUUUAUCAGGGAAGAAGCGAAAGUGACGGUACCUGAAGAAAAAGCACCGGCUAACUACGUGCCAGCAGCCGCGGUAAUACGUAGGGUGCAAGCGUUGUCCGGAAUUAUUGGGCGUAAAGAGCUCGUAGGCGGUUUGUCGCGUCUGCUGUGAAAAUCCAAGGCUCAACCUUGGACCUGCAGUGGGUACGGGCAGACUAGAGUGCGGUAGGGGAGAUGGGAAUUCCUGGUGUAGCGGUGGAAUGCGCAGAUAUCAGGAGGAACACCAAUGGCGAAGGCACAUCUCUGGGCCGUAACUGACGCUGAGGAGCGAAAGCGUGGGGAGCGAACAGGAUUAGAUACCCUGGUAGUCCACGCCGUAAACGGUGGGUGCUAGUUGUGGGCCACAUUCCACGUGGUCCGUGACGAAGUUAACACAUUAAGCACCCCGCCUGGGGAGUACGGUCGCAAGACUAAAACUCAAAGGAAUUGACGG
rnacentral:rRNA from 1 species